rnacentral:lncRNA from 1 species
GAAUUCCUUGGAAGCAGAGCAAAUGAAAUGAUCAUUGAAUGCAGCCUGACAAUUGAAGUUCAGAAGUAACACCAUCUUUCAGAAUGGGAAGGUACAGGCUAACUAGAUGAAAAAAGAAGAGCAGCAUCAAGGGAAUCAAUCUCUUGGGACGUCCUGUGGUCUGAAUGUACAUCUUGUAUUGCUGAGAUAGGAGCUGGGGAUGCGGUGUGUAAAGAUGUGAAUUUUACAAGGAAAAAGAAUCAUCCAGGAGACCUCUGGGAAAUCACAGAAUGUCUCCUAGGAAAGCUGGCCUUCAGUAGAAAUUUUGCCAAGGUUUUGAAAGAUUUUAUUAGAAAAGAUUUGGAUCCUGCACAAUUAUCAGUUCUGAAAGGUGCUUUGCCCACCUCCUCCAGUGGAAGUGCUAUUGAUCAUCUCACAAAAGGAAGGCAUGCACUUACAGAGAGAAAAGUUGAGCACUGUUCUGCUUGGCCAGAUGAGCCACUGUUCUGCUCCAAUGCCUU